UUGAAGUUUGGUUUGGAGAAUUUUAGGUAUUAUUUUUUUAUUUUGUUUAAUAGUUUUUUAUUUAUAAAAAUAAGGAGAAUAUAUAAUUGUGUAUAAUAUAUUGUGUUAUGUUAGGUAUGUUGUUGUUAUAUUUUGUUUAUUAUAAUUAGGGAUUAAGUAUUUUAUGUGGUUUAGUUGGUAUAGAAUUUGUUUGUAAUGUGGGAGA
rnacentral:misc_RNA from 1 species